rnacentral:sRNA from 1 species
AACUCAAAGGAAUUGACGGGGGCCCGCACAAGCGGUGGAGCAUGUGGUUUAAUUCGACGCAACGCGAAGAACCUUACCAGGUCUUGACAUCCGACGCAAGGCGCUAGAGAUAGCGAGAUAGUUAUGGUCGAGACAGGUGGUGCAUGGUUGUCGUCAGCUCGUGUCGUGAGAUGUUUKGUUAAGUCCAGCAACGAGCGCAACCCUUGUCCUUAGUUACCAGCAUUCAGUUGGGGACUCUAAGGAGACUGCCGGUGUAAAUCGGAGGAAGGUGGGGAUGACGUCAAAUCAUCAUGCCCUUUAUGACCUGGGCUACACACGUGCUACAAUGGGCGAUACAAAGGGACGCAAAACAGCGAUGUCAAGCAGACCUCAAAAAGUCGCUCUCAGUUCGGAUUGAAGGCUGCAACUCGCCUUCAUGAAGCCGGAAUCGCUAGUAAUCGCGAAUCAGCAACGUCGCGGUGAAUACGUUCCCGGGCCUUGUACACACCGCCCGUCAAACCAUGAGAGUUGGCAAUACCCGAAGUCGUUAGCGGUAACCCGCAAGGGAGCCGGGCGCCGAAGGURGRKMUGWUGAUUGKGRUUAAGUCGUAACAAGGUAUCCCUACGGGAACGUGGGGAUGGAUCACCUCCUUUCUAGGGAGAAAGAAACGACCAAAACGGUAGUGAAAAAACGAUUGGACCGCUCAUUGGAAAUAAGGAAGAGGCGUCUGGAUUCUGUUUAGUUUUGAGGAAUCAACGGGAGUUGAUAACUCGGAGUUGGUUUUUGAAAACUGAAUAUCAAGAAGAAACAUGUUCUUUCUGAAAAAGACGCGGUAUGGAAACACACCGUGCACUUUAGUGAUUAAAGAAGAGACGAAGAAGUGAGACGAAGUUAGAAAGGGCAUGCGGAGGAUGACUAGGCACUGGCAGCAGAAGAAGGACGCGACUACCUGCGAAAAGCGAUGGGGAGCUGGACGUAAGCAAUGAACCAUCGAUAUCCGAAUGGGCAACCCAAGGGCGA